rnacentral:rRNA from 1 species
UACGUAGGGUGCGAGCGUUAAUCGGAAUUACUGGGCGUAAAGCGUGCGCAGGCAGCUUGCUAAGCUUGCUGUGAAAGCCCCGGGCUUAACCUGGGAAUUGCAGUGAGGACUGGCUGGCUGGAGUGUGGCAGAGGGGGGUGGAAUUCCACGUGUAGCAGUGAAAUGCGUAGAGAUGUGGAGGAACACCGAUGGCGAAGGCAGCCCCCUGGGCUAACACUGACGCUCAGGCACGAAAGCGUGGGGAGCAAAC